CUUUCCCCAUAUGCACAUACCUCUAUCUUGACCAUUCUCCCCACUCUACACCUUGGUAGUUUCUUCUUCAGAACUCAAACACAGUCAACAGAUUUUCAAGGAAUCAUAAGCAGAGGAACAAACACCAUCAACCAAAGAAUAAGAUUCCAGAAAAAAAACAGAAGGAAAAUGAGCAGUAAGGAGAAAAAUGGUGGGAAAGCUGGACUGACAGGACAAGACCUUGGUUUGUGUUGAGGCAGCAUGGUGGCCAGAACUCUACUCAUGGACAGUGUAAGAGAAGGGCUACUUCUUCCAAAUGAGGAUCCGGGUCAGUGACUCCCAGGUGAGAGAAGAGGUUGGUGGUAUAUAUAUAUAUAUAUGUGUGUGUGUGUGUGUGUGUGUG
rnacentral:lncRNA from 1 species